UUCGUGGCCGAGACAUGGGUAAGAGUGGCUGAUGUAUUGGCCUCUUAAAUUACCACAUCGAUAUCCAACAAAAGCUCGGUUGUAGUUGAAAUUAGUGUGUGUGAGAGAGUGGAGAUGUGUGUGAGUAUAUGACCGAAAAAAAAAAAAGAAAUAAUAAACUAUUCUAAAUUAACACUUAAGCUAUUAUGAGAAUUUUUCCUUUUUUUGUUUAUAUAUAUUGGUAACUAACCAGUCUCUGUAUAAGGAUCAAGCUAGAAACAUGGGUAGAAAUAUUGUGAGAAAUGCAUUAUCAACAAUGUUAAUGAUAGGAGCGAUUUUUUAUUAUGGCAUUGCUGAAUUCCCGGAUAAAUCUAAUUAUAUUUCAUAUGAUGAUGAAACAAAACUAGAAAAGUGUCUGGACUCAUGUCAGAGAAAGCACAGAGGUGACAUCUGGGAGAUGUUGGCAUGUAUGGGGAAGUGCUAUGCUAACUAUAAACGAUCUUGAAUUUUAAUGAACUAAGAAUGUCAGAGCUAAUAAAAUUCUAUAGAUAGUAGUAAGGAAGAAAAUUGUUGCCAAUGAGAUUGUUGAGGGCAAGAAUGAAAAUAAUGAGGAAUUAACUAAUGAGAAAAAAUCAGUUGAAGACAAGAGACACGUGGCAGUUGAUCCAAGCAAUUCAGGUGCAAGGAAAAGCAACAGAGAGAAAAUGUUAAAUAGGAGGCUGCAAGACUAUGCUUGACAACGAAUUACUGGUUCUCAUGCAUGAUGAUAGGUCCCUUAAUUCUUUUUAUUCCUCACAUAACCUUUAUAUUUUACUAUUACAUUGCUUUCUUUUCCUGCAAGUUAUAAAUUACAGCAUUUUAUU